CCUCCCACCCUUGUGUAUUAUUACUUUGUUGCUUUGGCGAGCUGCCUUCGGGCCUUGUAUGCUCGCCAGAGAAUACCAAAACUCUUUUUAUUAAUGUCGUCUGAGUACUAUAUAAUAGUUAAAACUUUCAACAACGGAUCUCUUGGUUCUGGCAUCNAUGAAGAACGCAGCGAAAUGCGAUAAGUAAUGUGAAUUGCANAAUUCAGUGAAUCAUCGAAUCUUUGAACGCACAUUGCGCCCCUUGGUAUUCCGGGGGGCAUGCCUGUUCGAGCGUCAUUUCAACCCUCAAGCUUAGCUUGGUAUUGAGUCUAUGUCAGUAAUGGCAGGCUCUAAAAUCAGUGGCGGCGCCGCUGGGUCCUGAACGUAGUAAUAUCUCUCGUUACAGGUUCUCGGUGUGCUUCUGCCAAAACCCAAAUUUUUCUAUGGUUGACCUCGGAUCAGGUAGGGAUACCCGCUGAACUUAAGCAUAUCAAUAAGCGGAGGAAGAGGA
rnacentral:rRNA from 1 species